UACAGAGGUCUCAAGCGUUGUUCGGAUUCAUUGGGCGUAAAGGGUGCGUAGGCGGCGCGGUAAGUCGGGUGUGAAAUCUCGGAGCUUAACUCCGAAACUGCAUUCGAUACUGCCGUGCUUGAGGACUGGAGAGGAGACUGGAAUUUACGGUGUAGCGGUGAAAUGCGUAGAUAUCGUAAGGAAGACCAGUGGCGAAGGCGGGUCUCUGGACAGUUACUGACGCUGAGCACGAAGGCCAGGGGAGCAAACGGG
rnacentral:rRNA from 1 species